AUACGGAGGGUGCGAGCGUUAAUCGGAAUUACUGGGCGUAAAGGGUGCGUAGGCGGCUUGAUAAGUCGGAUGUGAAAGCCCCGGGCUUAACCUGGGAAUUGCAUUCGAUACUGUCAGGCUAGAGCAUGUCAGAGGUUGGCGGAAUUCCUGGUGUAGCGGUGAAAUGCGUAGAUAUCAGGAGGAACACCAGUGGCGAAGGCGGCUAACUGGGGCAAUACUGACGCUGAGGCACGAAAGCGUGGGGAGCAAACAGGAUUAGAAACCCUAGUAGUCC
rnacentral:rRNA from 1 species